rnacentral:rRNA from 1 species
AGCGCAGGCGGCUGGAAUAGUCUGAUGUGAAAGCCCACGGCUUAACCGUGGAAGGUCAUUGGAAACUGUCCAACUUGAAUACAGAAGAGGUAAGUGGAAUUCCAAGUGUAGCGGUGAAAUGCGUAGAUAUUUGGAGGAACACCAGUGGCGAAGGCGACUUACUGGUCUGUAAUUGACGCUGAGGCUCGAAAGCGUGGGUAGCAAACA